ensembl:snRNA U6 U6 spliceosomal RNA
GUGCUCGCUUCAACAGCACAUCCACUAACACUGGAACGAUACGCAGAAGAUCAGCAUGGCUCCUGCACGAGGGUGACACGGAAAAGUUAGAAAACAAUAGGAAAUUU